rnacentral:rRNA from 1 species
UACGAAGGGUGCAAGCGUUACUCGGAAUCACUGGGCGUAAAUGGUGCGUAGGCGGGUCUUUCAGUCAGGGGUGAAAUCCUGGAGCUCAACUCCAGAACUGCCUUUGAUACUGAAGAUCUUGAGUUCGGGAGAGGUGAGUGGAACUGCGAGUGUAGAGGUGAAAUUCGUAGAUAUUCGCAAGAACACCAGUGGCGAAGGCGGCUCACUGGCCCGAUACUGACGCUGAGGCACGAAAGCGUGGGGAGCAAACAGG